UCGGGUAUGGUGUAACGGCUAACAUUGCCGCCUCUCAAGUGCAAAUACGCGGCAGCUCGGGGUUCGAUUCCCCGUACCCGAA
rnacentral:tRNA from 1 species